rnacentral:rRNA from 1 species
AGGGGAUCUUCGGACCUUUCGCUAUGAGAUGAGCCUGCGUUAGAUUAGCUAGUUGGUAGGGUAAAGGCCUACCAAGGCGACGAUCUAUAGCUGGUCUGAGAGGACGAUCAGCCACACUGGGACUGAGACACGGCCCAGACUCCUACGGGAGGCAGCAGUGGGGAAUAUUGGACAAUGGGCGAAAGCCUGAUCCAGCAAUACCGCGUGUGUGAAGAAGGCCUUAGGGUUGUAAAGCACUUUCAAUUGGGAGGAAAACCUGUCGGUCAAUACCCGGCAGCUUGACAUUACCUUUAGAAGAAGCACCGGCUAACUCCGUGCCAGCAGCCGCGGUAAUACGGAGGGUGCGAGCGUUAAUCGGAAUUACUGGGCGUAAAGCGUGCGUAGGCGGUUCGUUAAGUCAGAUGUGAAAGCCCUGGGCUCAACCUGGGAACUGCAUUUGAAACUGGCGGACUAGAGUUUAGUAGAGGGGAGUGGAAUUUCAGGUGUAGCGGUGAAAUGCGUAGAUAUCUGAAGGAACACCGAUGGCGAA